AUUGAACGCUGGCGGCAGGCCUAACACAUGCAAGUCGAACGAGUGGCGGACGGGUAGUUAAUGUCUGGGAACCUGCCGGAUGGAGGGGGUUAACUCCUGGAACCGUUAGCUAUUACCGCAUACCAUCGGAUUUCCCCAAAUGGGAUUAGCUAGUGGGGGGGGUAACGGCUCACCUAGGCGACGACCCCUACCUGGUCUGAGAGGAUGACCAGCCACACUGGAACUGAGACACGGUCCAGACUCCUACGGGAGGCAGCAGUGGGGAAUAUUGCACAAUGGGCGCAAGCCUGAGGCAGCCAUGCCGCGUGUAUGAAGAAGGCCUUCGGGUUGUAAAGUACUUUCAGCGAGGAGGCGUUACCCGCAGAAGAAGCACCGGCUAACUCCGUGCCAGCAGCCGCGGUAAUUC
rnacentral:rRNA from 1 species